UUAUGGCUCAGGAUGAACGCUGGCGGCAGGCUUAAUACAUGCAAGUCGAACGGUAACGACCGGUAGCAAUACUGGGGCGACGAGUGGCGCACGGGUGCGUAACGCGUAUGCAACCUACCCUCAACCGGGGCAUAACGACCGAGAAAUUGGCGCUAAUAUCCCAUGUGUAUGUGAGACGGCAUCGUCUUAUAUAUAAAGAUCCGUUGGUUAAGGAUGGGCAUGCGUAACAUUAGCUGGUUGGCGGGGUAACGGCCCACCAAGGCGACGAUGUUUAGGGGUUCUGAGAGGAUUCACCCCCCACACUGGAACUGAGACACGGUCCAGACUCCUACGGGAGGCAGCAGUAGGGAAUAUUGGGCAAUGGAGGCAACUCUGACCCAGCCAUGCCGCGUGAAGGAAGACGGCCCUAUGGGUUGUAAACUUCUUUUGCCGCAGAGUGACCCGGGGGACGAGUCCCCCGCUGAGAGUAUGCGGCGAAUAAGUAUCGGCUAACUCCGUGCCAGCCGCCGC
rnacentral:rRNA from 1 species